rnacentral:rRNA from 1 species
UGUGUAGGCGGUGUUCUAAGUCUGUUGUGAAAUCUCCCAGCUCAACUGGGAGGGUGCGGCGGAGACUGGAAUGCUAGAGUAUGGGAGAGGUAAGCGGAAUUCCUGGUGUAGCGGUGAAAUGCGUAGAUAUCAGGAGGAACACCUGUGGUGUAGACAGCUUACUGGACCAUGACUGACGCUGAGACACGAAAGCGUGGGUAGCAAACAGGAUUAGAUACCCUGGUAGUCCACGCCCUAAACGAUGCAUACUUGGUGUGAGCCAUUCAUUUGGUUCGUGCCGGAGCUAACGCGUUAAGUAUGCCGCCUGGGGAGUACGGUCGCAAGGCUGAA